GACCCAGUGGUGAAUGGAUCACACCUGCUCUCUCUUAUUUGUCUGCAUCACCAGAGCUAAAGACAGCAGGAGCCCUGGUUCGAUUCCGGGCUGGGUCA